rnacentral:rRNA from 1 species
GACGAACGCUGGCGGCGUGCUUAACACAUGCAAGUCGAACGGAAAGGCCCUGCUUUUGUGGGGUGCUCGAGUGGCGAACGGGUGAGUAACACGUGAGUAACCUGCCCUUGACUUUGGGAUAACUUCAGGAAACUGGGGCUAAUACCGGAUAGGAGCUCCUGCUGCAUGGUGGGGGUUGGAAAGUUUCGGCGGUUGGGGAUGGACUCGCGGCUUAUCAGCUUGUUGGUGGGGUAGUGGCUUACCAAGGCUUUGACGGGUAGCCGGCCUGAGAGGGUGACCGGCACCAUUGGAACUGGGAUACGGCCCAGCCUCCUACGGGAGGAAGAGGUGGGGAAUAUUGCACAAUGGCCGGAAGCCUGAUGCAGCACCGCGGCGUGCGGGAUGACGGCUUCGGGUUGUAAACCGCUUUCGCCUGUGACGAAGCGUGAGUGACGGUAAUGGGUAAAGAAGCACCGGCUAACUACGUG